UCAGCUCAGCUUUAGAGGCACUGGCCUUCUGUUUGGGCUUCCUGCCACAACAGAACAGCACUAUGGCCAUGGCCUUCCUCUCCCGGCUGAACCUUCAGGAAAUCCUCCAGACCCUCUCUGUUUUGCAGUGGGUGCCAGUCUACAUCUUUUUAGGAGCUAUUCCUAUUAUCCUUAUACCCUACUUUCUGGUGUUCACUAAGUUCUGGAUGGUGUCUGUGCUCGCCUUAGCCUGGCUCGCCUAUGACUGGAACACCCACAGUCAAGGUGGUAGACGUUCAGCUUGGGUACGAAACUGGACAAUCUGGAAAUAUUUCCAAAAUUACUUCCCAGUAAUGCUGGUGAAGACUCAUGACCUCUCUCCCAGACAAAACUAUAUCAUUGCCAGCCACCCCCAUGGCAUACUCCCUUAUGGUAUCUUCAUCAACUUUGCCACUGAGACCACUGGCUUUGCUCGGAUUUUCCCAGCCAUCACUCCUUAUAUAGCGACCUUGGAAGGGAUCUUCUGGAUCCCAAUUGUGCGAGAAUAUGUGAUGUCAAUGGGUGUGUGCCCAGUGAGUGAGUUGGCCUUGAAGUAUUUGCUGACCCAGAAAGGCUCAGGCAAUGCUGUGGUUAUUGUGGUGGGUGGAGCUGCUGAAGCCCUCUUGUGCCACCCAGGAGCCUCUACUGUCUUCCUUAAACAGCGUAAAGGUUUUGUGAAGGUGGCACUGAAGACAGGAGCAUACCUUGUCCCUUCCUAUUCCUUUGGACAGAAUGAAGUUCACAAUCAAGAGACCUUCCCUGAGGGCACGUGGAAAAGGUUCUUCCAAAAAACCUUCCAGAACACAUUCAAAAAAAUCCUGGGACUAAAUUUCUGUACCUUCCAUGGCCGGGGCCUCAUUCGAGGAUCCUGGGGAUUCCUGCCUUUCAAUCAUCCCAUUACCACAGUUGGUAAGCUUUCCAGCAUCUUUGGACCACCCUGGUCCUUGAUUCCCCCCAUCCAGCCCUCAAGUCCCAGGGGGCCUGGCACACAGCUGGGAUGGGCAAUGGGAAUUCCGGUGGUUGUGGUUGAGAGCAGGGUAGGGAGGACAACUACGCAGAUAAGAGUUGUGGCAGGAGGGACAGGAGGGACAGUGUUCAACUGCUGCCAUGAGGGCAUCAUUAUUCACACACGUGCCUUCAGCACUCUCCUAAGUUUACUCUCAUUCUCUUAA
rnacentral:lncRNA from 1 species